rnacentral:rRNA from 1 species
GACGAACGCUGGCGGCGUGCUUAACACAUGCAAGUCGAACGAUGACGACCGAGCUUGCUCGGUCUGAUUAGUGGAGAACGGGGGAGUAACACGUGAGCAACCUGCCCUUCACUCUGGGAGAACCUAGGGAAAGAGGGGCUAAUACCGGAUAUGAGCUCCUGUCGCAUGGCGGGCGUUGGUAAGUUUUUCGUGGCGGGAUGGGCUAGGGGUCUAUCGGCUUGUUGGGGAGGUAGGGGCGCACCAAGGCGAAGCCGGGUUGCCUGGCUGAGAGGGCGACCGGCCCCGCUGGGACUGAGAUACGGCACAGACCCCUACGGGACGCAGCGGUGGAGAAUAUUGCACAAUGGGCGAGAGCCUGAUGUAGCGACGCCGCGUGAGGGAAGACGUCCUUCGGUUUGUAAUCCUCUGUCAGCAUGGACGAAGCGAUAGUGACGGUACCGGCAGAAGAAGCGCCGGCUAACUACGUG